AAUGAAAAACUCUCCGUCGAUUUUGGAGGCCUACCCAAUAUUAAUAGACGGAAAUUUUUAGUUUAAGUUUAUAUAAAUUGUUUGUUAAAAUUGUUAAAAUGACCAAUGAAAAAUCUAUCCGUCGGGUUAAGAGGCUUUUUCCAUUUUAAAAGACGGAAAUCUAAUUUAAGUUCAUAUAUGUUUAUUUGUUGAAUUGGCCGAUGAAGAAAUUGCCGUCGAUUUUCAAGGCUUCCCAUUUUUAAGUUAUUAUUUGAGUUAUUCAAUUUUUAUUUAUAUUUAUUUGGUACUAACUCUUUUACAAAGUGUCUUUACAUGUAUAUGAAGGUGCU
rnacentral:misc_RNA from 1 species